rnacentral:rRNA from 1 species
AUGAUUGGUGAAAUGGAUGUGGAUAGCGUUGUAGAAUACUUCAGGGGCAAGAGCAUCCUCAUCGCUGGAUCAACGGUGUUCCUAGCAAAAGUGCUUGUCGAGAAGAUAUUGAGGGUUCAGCCUGAUGUCAAGAAGCUCUUCCUCUUGAUUCGGGCCUCCGAUGUUGAAUCCGCAAAGCUUCGGAUUCAAAAUGAGGUCAUAGGGAGGGAGAUCUUUCAAGUGCUCAAAGAAGAACAUGGUGUGGGGUUCCAUAAUUUCGUCGAAGAAAAGAUCUGCCCUUUGGUGGGAGACAUCACGCAUGAGGACUUUGGACUAGACACUGCCAAGCUGAGAGAAGUGUCGAAGGACAUAGACAUUAUUGUCAACGUAGCUGCCACUACGAAAUUCUCUGAAAGAUAUGAUGUGGCUUUCGAUGUGAAUGUCUUGGGAGUGAAGCAUGUUUGCGCAUUCGCAAAGAAGUGUAUUAAGCUCAAGAUGUUGCUUCAUGUUUAA